rnacentral:rRNA from 1 species
AUUGAACGCUGGCGGCAGGCCUAACACAUGCAAGUCGAGCGAGUGGCGAACGGGUGAGUAACAUAUCGGAACGUACCGAGGAAUGGGGGAUAACUAAUCGAAAGAUUAGCUAAUACCGAAUAUUAUUAGAGCGGCCGAUAUCUGAUUAGCUGGUUGGUGGGGUACAGGCCUACCAAGGCGACGAUCAGUAGCGGGUCUGAGAGGAUGAUCCGCCACACUGGAACUGUGACACGGCCCAGACUCCUACGGGAGUCAGCAGUGGGGAAUUUUGGACAAUGGGCGCAAGCCUUAUCCAGCCAUGCCGCGUGUAUGAAGAAGGCCUUCGGGUUGUAAAGGACUUUUGUCAGGGAAGCGGUACCUGAAGAAUAAGCACCGGCUAACUACGUGCCAGCAGCCGCGGUAAUUC